UCGGUGCUCGUCUAACCGGUAGGACAGGAGACUUUGACUCUCCAGAUCGUGGUUCGAACCCACGGCACCGAGCCA
rnacentral:tRNA from 1 species